rnacentral:rRNA from 1 species
CCUACGGGGGGCAGCAGUGAGGAAUAUUGGUCAAUGGACGAGAGUCUGAACCAGCCAAGCCGCGUGAAGGAUGACUGUCCUAUGGGUUGUAAACUUCUUUUAUAUGGGAAUAAAAUGUUCCACGUGUGGGAGUUUGUAUGUACCAUAUGAAUAAGGAUCGGCUAACUCCGUGCCAGCAGCCGCGGUAAUACGGAGGAUCCGAGCGUUAUCCGGAUUUAUUGGGUUUAAAGGGAGCGUAGGUGGAUUGUUAAGUCAGUUGUGAAAGUUUGCGGCUCAACCGUAAAAUUGCAGUUGAAACUGGCAGUCUUGAGUACAGUAGAGGUGGGCGGAAUGCGUGGUGUAGCGGUGAAAUGCUUAGAUAUCACGAAGAACUCCGAUUGCGAAGGCAGCUCACUGGACUGCAACUGACACUGAGGCUCGAAAGUGUGGGUAUCAAACAGGAUUAGAUACCCCGGUAGUC